rnacentral:tRNA from 1 species
CGCGGGGUAGAGUAAUUGGUUAACUUACCAGACUCAUGAUUUGGAGAUUGCAGGUUAGAAUCCGGUCCCCGCCU